UACGGAGGGUGCGAGCGUUGUCCGGAAUCAUUGGGCGUAAAGGGCGCGUAGGUGGCUUCUUAAGCGUGCGGUGAAAGCCUGGGGCUCAACCCCGGGUCGGCCGUGCGAACUGGGGGGCUGGAGCACUGUAGAGGCAGGCGGAAUUCCGGGUGUAGCGGUGGAAUGCGUAGAGAUGCGGAAGAACACCGGUGGCGAAGGCGGCCUGCUGGGCAGUAGCUGACACUGAGGCGCGACAGCGUGGGGAGCAAACAGG
rnacentral:rRNA from 1 species